GUGAAGAAGCCAAGUCUCAGGAACUGGGGAGGAGAUGAAGACACAGGCAGUGUGACCUAAUUUGGAAAGAGGGAAGAACAGUCUUUCUGGGUAGUGAUCUAAUGAUUCGCCAUAGCCCUGUUCUGAUCUCACCUGUCCCACUCAGACCAGACUAGGGAGCCCACCGUGUCUUUGCAGUUAGAUUCCAAGGGAUACAGAAUGAUACUGAAGAAAGAAAGAAGGCAUGAUCUCUCUCUUCAUGAGGCUUACAU